CUACGGGACGCUGCAGUGAGGAAUUUUGCGCAAUGGGGGAAACCCUGACGCAGCGAUACCGCGUGAGUGAAGAAGGCCUUUGGGUCGUAAAGCUCUUUUCUAAGGGAAGAUAGUGACGGUACCUUAGGAAUAAGCGCCGGCUAACUCCGUGCCAGCAGCCGCGGUAAUACGGAGGGCGCGAGCGUUGUUCGGAUUUACUGGGCGUAAAGGGCGCGUAGGCGGCCUGGCAAGUUAAGGGUGAAAUCCCGGGGCUUAACCCCGGAACUGCUCUUAAAACUGCCAAGCUAGAGAUGGUCAGAGGCGGGUGGAAUUCCAGGUGUAGAGGUGAAAUUCGUAGAUAUCUGGAGGAACACCGGUGGCGAAGGCGGCCCGCUGGGGCCAAUCUGACGCUGAGGCGCGAAAGCGUGGGGAGCGAACGGGAUUAGAUACCCGCGUAGUC
rnacentral:rRNA from 1 species